rnacentral:snRNA from 1 species
GUUCUCGCUUCGGCAGCACAUAUACUAAAAUUGGAACGAUACAGAGAUUAGCAUGGCCCCCGCACAAGGAUGACACACAGAUUCGUGAAGUGUUCCAUGUUUUU